UUAAUACUCCCUCCGAUCCAAAUUACUUGUCGCUCAAAUGGAUGUAUCUAGCACUGAAAUACGUCUAGAUACACCCAUUUAAGUGACACGUAAUAUGGAUCGGAGGGAGUAUAAG
rfam:Triticum aestivum genome assembly, contig: Triticum_aestivum_CS42_TGACv1_scaffold_641569_T_5DL-0.146137_4BS-0.083426